GAUGAACGCUAGCGGGACGGCUUAACACAUGCAAGUCGAGGGGCAGCAUAGGGUAGCAAUACUCUGAUGGCGACCGGCAAACGGGUGAGUAACGCGUAUGCAACCUACCCUGUACAGGGGGAUAACCCGGAGAAAUUCGGACUAAUAUCCCGUAAUAAUAUCCGGAGGCAUCUUUGGAUAUUUAAAGUUCCGACGGUACGGGAUGGGCAUGCGUAACAUUAACUGGUUGGUAAGGUAACGGCUUACCAAGGCUAUGAUGUUUAGGGGUCCUGAGAGGGUGGUCCCCCACACUGGUACUGAGACACGGACCAGACUCCUACGGGAGGCAGCAGUGAGGAAUAUUGGUCAAUGGGCGCAAGCCUGAACCAGCCAUCCCGCGUGCAGGAAGACGGCCCUAUGGGUUGUAAACUGCUUUUCCAGGGAGAGAAACUUACGCACGUGUUGCGUGACUGACGGUACCCUGGGAAUAAGCAUCGGCUAACUCCGUG
rnacentral:rRNA from 1 species